UACGAAGGGGGCUAGCGUUGCUCGGAAUCACUGGGCGUAAAGCGCACGUAGGCGGAUUGCUAAGUCAGGGGUGAAAUCCUGGAGCUCAACUCCAGAACUGCCUUUGAUACUGGAAAGCUCGAGUCCGGAAGAGGUGAGUGGAACUGCGAGUGUAGAGGUGAAAUUCGUAGAUAUUCGCAAGAACACCAGUGGCGAAGGCGGCUCACUGGUCCGGUACUGACGCUGAGGUGCGAAAGCGUGGGGAGCAAACAGG
rnacentral:rRNA from 1 species